AGUGAACGCUGGCGGUAGGCCUAACACAUGCAAGUCGAACGGCAGCACAGAGGAGCUUGCUCCUUGGGUGGCGAGGGGCGGACGGGUGAGGAAUACAUCGGAAUCUACUCUGUCGUGGGGGAUAACGUAGGGAAACUUACGCUAAUACCGCAGACGACCUACGGGUGAAAGCAGGGGAUCUUCGGACCUUGCGCGAUUGAAUGAGCCGAUGUCGGAUUAGCUAGUUGGCGGGGUAAAGGCCAACCAAGGCGACGAUCCGUAGCUGGUCUGAGAGGAUGAUCAGCCACACUGGAACUGAGACACGGUCCAGACUCCUACGGGAGGCAGCAGUGGGGAAUAUUGGACAAUGGGCGCAAGCCUGAUCCAGCCAUACCGCGUGGGUGAAGAAGGCCUUCGGGUUGUAAAGCCCUUUUGUUGGGAAAGAAAUCCAUCUGGUUAAUACCCGGGUGGGAUGACGGUACCCAAAGAAUAAGCACCGGCUAACUUCGUGCCAGCCGCCGCCGUAA
rnacentral:rRNA from 1 species